rnacentral:rRNA from 1 species
AUUGAACGCUGGCGGCAGGCCUAACACAUGCAAGUCGAACGAGUGGCGGACGGGUGAGUAAUGUCUGGGCAACUGCCUGAUGGAGGGGGAUAACUACUGGAAACGGUAGCUAAUACCGCAUACCAUCGGAUGUGCCCAGAUGGGAUUAGCUAGUAGGUGGGGUAAAGGCUCACCUCGGCGACGAUCCCUAGCUGGUCUGAGAGGAUGACCAGCGACACGUGAACUGAGACACGGUCCAGACUCCUACGAGAGGCAGCAGUGGGGAAUAUUGGACAAUGGGCGCAAGCCUGAUGCAGCCCUGCCGCGUGUAUGAAGAAGGCCUUCGGUUUGUAAAGUACUUUCAGAGGGGAGGCGUUACCCGCAGAAGAAGCACAGGCUAACUCCGUGCCAGCAGCCGCGGUAAUUC